AUUGAACGCUGGCGGCAGGCCUAACACAUGCAAGUCGAACGGUAGCACAGAGAGCUUGCUCUCGGGUGACGAGUGGCGGACGGGUGAGUAACGUCUGGGAAACUGCCCGAUGGAGGGGGGUAACUACUGGAAACGGUAGCUAAUACCGCAUAACGUCGCAAGACCAAAGUGGGGGACCUUUGGGCCUCACACCAUCGCAUGUGCCCAGAUGGGAUUAGCUAGUAGGGGGGGUAAUGGCUCACCUAGGCGACGAUCCCUAGCUGGUCUGAGAGGAUGACCAGCCACACUGGAGCUGAGACACGGUCCAGACUCCUACGGGAGGCAGCAGUGGGGAAUAUUGCACAAUGGGCGCAAGCCUGAUGCAGCCAUGCCGCGUGUAUGAAGAAGGCCUUCGGGUUGUAAAGUACUUUCAGCGGGGAGGAAGGCGGUGAAGUUAAUAGCUUCACCGAUUGACGUUACCCGCAGAAGAAGCACCGGCUAACUCCGUGCCAGCCGCCGCCGUAA
rnacentral:rRNA from 1 species